rnacentral:miRNA from 1 species
GAAAUCAAGAAUGGGUGGAGCCU